rnacentral:rRNA from 1 species
AUUGAACGCUGGCGGCAUGCUUUACACAUGCAAGUCGAACGGUAACAGGCCGCAAGGUGCUGACGAGUGGCGAACGGGUGAGUAAUGCAUCGGAACGUGCCCAGUCGUGGGGGAUAACGCAGCGAAAGCUGCGCUAAUACCGCAUACGAUCUAUGGAUGAAAGCGGGGGACCGUAAGGCCUCGCGCGAUUGGAGCGGCCGAUGUCAGAUUAGGUAGUUGGGGGGGUAAAGGCUCACCAAGCCAACGAUCUGUAGCUGGUCUGAGAGGACGACCAGCCACACUGGGACUGAGACACGGCCCAGACUCCUACGGGAGGCAGCAGUGGGGAAUUUUGGACAAUGGGCGCAAGCCUGAUCCAGCAAUGCCGCGUGCAGGAAGAAGGCCUUCGGGUUGUAAACUGCUUUUGUACGGAACGAAACGGUCCUGGUUAAUACCUGGGGCUAAUGACGGUACCGUAAGAAUAAGCACCGGCUAACUAUGUGCCAGCCGCCGCAGUAAUAC